UUCCAGGUUUUGUAUUCUGUUCUAUUGAUACAUGUGCCUUUUUUUGUGCCCAUAUCAUACAGUUUUGAUUACUACAGCUUUGUAAUAUAAUUUAAAGUCUGG